UUGGAGGGCAAGUCUGGUGCCAGCAGCCGCGGUAAUUCCAGCUCCAAUAGCGUAUAUUAAAGUUGUUGCAGUUAAAAAGCUCGUAGUUGAAUUUCGGGGUCAGUAGGCUGGUCGUGCCACAGGUAUGUACUGGUCUCACUGAUUCCUCCCUCCUGAUGAACCGUAAUGCCAUUAAUUUGGUGUUGCGGGGAAUCUGGACUGUUACUUUGAAAAAAUUAGAGUGUUUAAAGCAGGCUAACGCUUGAAUACAUUAGCAUGGAAUAAUGAAAUAGGACGAUCGAUCCUAUUUUGUUGGUUUCUAGGAUUGACGUAAUGAUUAAUAGGGAUAGUUGGGGGCAUUAGUAUUCAAUUGUCAGAGGUGAAAUUCUUGGAUUUAUUGAAGACUAACUACUGCGAAAGCAUUUGCCAAGGAUGUUUUCAUUAAUCAAGAACGAAAGUUAGGGGAUCGAAGACGAUCAGAUACCGUCGUAGUCUUAACCAUAAACUAUGCCGACUAGGGAUCGGAUGAUGUUAAUUUUUUAAUGACUCAUUCGGCGCCUUACGGGAAA
rnacentral:rRNA from 1 species